rnacentral:rRNA from 1 species
CCCUUAGAUGUCCUGGGCCGCACGCGCGUUACACUGAUGCACUCAACGAGCAUAUAACCUUGGCCGAGAGGCCUGGGUAAUCUUGUUAACAUGCAUCGUGAUAGGGAUAGAUUAUUGCAAUUAUUAAUCUUGAACGAGGAAUUCCUAGUAAACGCAGAUCAUCAAUCUGCAUUGAUUACGUCCCUGCCCUUUGUACACACCGCCCGUCGCACCUACCGAUUGGAUGGUCCGGUGAAGCCUCGGGAUUGUGGUUCUUGCCGCUUUAUUGUGGCGUGACCGCGAGAACUUGUCUAAACCUUAUCAUCUAGAGGAAGGUGAAGUCGUANCG